GAGCGCCGAACUCCGCCCCCAACAAUGCGCAAGCCGGGUGAUUGACGCGGGCGGAGCGGCCUGGCGAGGGCGAUGCCAACGGUUCACCGGCACCGGUCCUGUCCCGUCGCCUCCGCGCCGUGGCCGAGUGGAGACCGCUGCCUCCAACCCUUCCCCAAGUAAAGCCUAGGACCCUCCCCCAACUCGUGUGGAUGACCGAAAAUAAAGCUUCGGGUCCUGGUUACAGUGUACCGAACUCGGACUGCGCCACGGCUUUUUACUCCAUGUUUCCCGUGCUCUACACUGGGAAGGAAAGCAGCCGAAGUUUCGUAAUGUCUUAGAGAGGAAAAACGCCCUUUAGCCACUGCUUUCGCACCACCGUCCUAUCUCCCCACAAUCCGGGCCCUACCCAUCAUGGAAGCUUCUGGAAGGGCACAGGAGUGCUGUACCCUAAGAAAACGUCCAUUAAUUUAGAGUUUUUGCCUCCGUGCCAUCCACUAUCAUCUCCCCUGGCGCCCUAUGACCUUCACUACAGACCGCGACCGCCAACAGACUGCAUACCUGUUAUAAUCCGCGGAGCCACCAGACAUGAUCCGAAAAACCACUCAGCGCCCGACUGAAAAGACAGCGGCGCCCAACCACCCGUUUUUUAUAGGCUCGUGGCCGGAACCCGUUUCUUGCGGAGGAAUUUUCUCGCCGUGCUUCGGUCAGCUACAAAAUUGUGAUCCUGGGGUCGUUACCUCGGAUAAAAUCCUAAGCAAGUUGGUAGAAAAACCCAAAUGUGGUAAUUUCUCGAUAUUACAGGGUCGCUGGAAAUCCUAGGGCCCGGGGUUGGGUUGGGACUCUUUACCUCGCGGCGGAAGAAUAUAGCUGCGGAGUUAGUUAAACCUCGCUUUCCCCGCCCGCCCUGCUCCUACGGGGUUUCCGCGUCCCUGACGCAGAGGCGGGCCGGGGGAGCCGCGCCGGAGCCGGAGGCGGAAACCGGAGAUGCUGUUCGUCGGGCGGCCGGGGCUUCCCGCGGGUGACAGGUCCCGGCUCGCGGCUCGCUGCCGGCACUCAGGUGCGGGAGGGGAACUCGGUUAUUCCGCUUGCUCCCACCGCUGUUUAAUUCCACAAUGAAGACCUGCCUGGCAUUUAGCCCGACCGUUAACAUCCAUUCAGAUCUUGGAAACGUAAAAUUCCUGCUAGGGAAAAUGUCGGCCACCCAGCGAGUCCCGGGAAGUCCGGUUUACCGGUACAUUUUGCAGCGCGAGAAGGAAAAAUGGAGUGUCAUUUGCAGAUGUCUCUGGAGUGGCCAAUUCUAUUCUCAUAUCAUUUCCGGUCUCUCGCUUUCUUUUUAAGAGUGUUACUGAUUUUAACCUAACAGGUGUGAGGAAUGCCUGAAAAAAAUCAUAAACUUUUGCAAAUGGAUAGAAACUAAGCAGUAAUUUUCCUUGGAACGCACGAAUUUAAAUGGACGCUUUGGCAGAUACAGCUCUGUGCCGCUUUGGGACUACAUCGGUUUUGAUUCCGUCUAUAUUGGUCAUUUUUUAAAGGCUGUAGACUUUGCCGAUAUAUAGUGAAAUGUUGAUUUAUUGAAAUUCAGAGCAAUAAUAUCCUUGCUGCGUAAACUGCACGGGUCUUUAAGCUCCAGACGUUUUCAAUUAGCCCCAUCUCAGGUCUCUCGACAAAAACAAAAAACAAUAUAUGUAGUCAUUUAACUUUAAAAUACAACCCUACCCAUGGUGCAAAAUAUCAUCGAGACUAUCAGGGUAACAUUUUCUCAUAUUUCAGAAGGCCAACUUAAAGAAUCAUUACUGGGAAAGCUGACUCAAUUUUCUAUAUUAUAGAAGAUAUUCGGUUCUAAAUACUACUUUUUUAAUACAAAAAUUAUUUAUUUAUUUGAAAAUUCUUAUCGUGCCAGGAACUAGGACAAAGAUUAAGAAUACCAAGAUGGCAAAGUGGGCCAGGCCCUCAGUCCAGUGGUACUGCUCCUCAUUCAUCCCUCUGUAAUGUUCGAAAUCCAGAUUUGAGGUGAUGCCAGAUAUUUUCUGAGAAUGAUGGUCGUCAGACAUCCUUGUUGUCUCAUCCAAAAUCUACUAAAAAUAUCCUGAGAUCUAAGAAAUUGAAAAAAUACUAAAUCGAAAAAGUGACCAACCGUUUGGUUUCACUUGAGCCUUAGGGUGAAAACAAUUGAUCAUAGGGUGAUACCAAUCAACAAUUAACACUUAAUCGUUGGUUGUUUUCUUUAGGAUUAGCACUACACUAGAUGGUGUAGGAUUUUCAAGUCUCUUAAGAGGAAAUAAAGGCUAAACUCUAUGGUAUAGGUUUACAAGUGCUAAGUAAGUUUCAAGGUAAGAAAACUUCAAAUACAGUCAAAAUCCACACCCACACUGCCUGUAACCUUACAGUGUAUUCCUAAUAAAUGCAGUGAUUACCACA
ensembl:lncRNA novel transcript, antisense to eukaryotic translation initiation factor 4A, isoform 2 EIF4A2